rnacentral:lncRNA from 1 species
CAUUUUUAGCUCACCUGGCCCGAAGGGCCAAGUGAGCUUUUCUCAUCACUUGGCGUCCGGCGUCCGGCGUCGUCCGUCGUCCGUCGUCGUCCGUCGUCCGUCGUCGUCGUUAACUUUUACAAAAAUCUUCUCCUCUGAAACUACUGGGCCAAAUUUAACCAAACUUGGCCACAAUCAUCAUUGGGGUAUCUAGUUUAAAAAAUGUGUUCGGUUACCCGGCCAACCAACCAAGAUGGCCGCCAUGGCUAAAAAUAGAACAUAGGGGUCAAAUGCAGUUUUUGGCUUAUAACUCUGAAACCGAAGCAUUUAGAGCAAAUCUGACAUGGGGUUAAAUUGUUUAUUAAGUCAAGAUCUAUCUGCCUUUAAAUUUUCAGACGAAUCGGACAACCGGUUGUUGGGUUGCUGCCCCUGAAUUGGCAAUUUUAAGGAAAUUUUGCCGUUAUAUGGUUAUUAUCUUGAAUAUUAUUAUAGAUAGAGAUAAACUGUAAACAGCAAUAAUGUUCAGCAAAGUAAGAUCUACAAAUAAGUCAACAUGACCGAAAUGGUCAGUUGACCCAUAUAGGAGUUAUUGCCCUUUAUAGUCAAUUUUUAACCAUUUUUCGUAAAUCUUAGUAAUCUUUUACAAAAAUUUUCUCCUCUGAAACCA